rnacentral:rRNA from 1 species
CCUACGGGGAGCAGCAGUGAGGAAUAUUGGUCAAUGGACGGAAGUCUGAACCAGCCAUGCCGCGUGCAGGAAGACGGCUCUAUGAGUUGUAAACUGCUUUUGUACAAGGGUAAACCUGAAUACGUGUAUUCAGCUGAAAGUACUGUACGAAUAAGGAUCGGCUAACUCCGUGCCAGCAGCCGCGGUAAUACGGAGGAUCCAAGCGUUAUCCGGAUUUAUUGGGUUUAAAGGGUGCGUAGGCGGAUUGAUAAGUUAGAGGUGAAAUGUCCGAGCUUAACUCGGGAACUGCCUCUAAUACUGUUGGUCUAGAGAGUAGAUGCGGUAGGCGGAAUGUAUGGUGUAGCGGUGAAAUGCUUAGAGAUCAUACAGAACACCGAGUGCGAAGGCAGCUUACCAAUCUAUAUCUGACGUUGAGGCACGAAAGCGUGGGGAGCAAACAGGAUUAGAUACCCUUGUAGUC